rnacentral:lncRNA from 1 species
ACACAUACAUUAUAACUCGCACUCUCCAUAAAUAUAAUGAAAUCAAAUAAUUUCUUAUAACCAUGUAAUUUAUUUAUUGAGGAUAAAUAAUAAAUAAAUCUCCCAUAAAUAUUACUAUUCAUUUAUUAAAUAUUAAUUUAUUUCUCUUUUUUAUUAUUUAAUAAAAUUUGAAAGAAUAAUAUUGAGAUUUUAAUUUCAAUUUGAUCCAUCAAACAAAGUAUCGGUUACAUUAUUGAAUCUUUUUAUUAUCACCCAAAACGUCAAUUAACAUGUUUCUCCCUUUAUGAUUAGGAUGUUUAAUUAAUAUGUAUGGUUUAAAUAUUAAAUUGUGUUUAAUUAAUAUGUAUGAUUUAAACUUUAAUUUUUUUUUCCGUAAAUAUUUUGAAUGAAUUUUAUAUUAGGUUACUGAUAAACGAAUUC